GGGGGUUUCGUGUGUCCCCCGUCCCCCCUGGGAUUUCCGCGCUAUGUGGGAAUAGGGAUUUAAAAAUAGUAGGAAGUUUUUCGGCAGUACACGGGAGGGUUUUAAUAGUGUUAGGAUUUAUGUUUAUGCACUAUAGCCUGUUAGCAUAUUGUUUGAAGAUGAAUAUUGUUUUGUUACACACACACAAACAAUACAGAUGGGUGUGUGUAAAGACUGACCACAGCUUUUAUGGCCUGUGUUGGUCAGUCUGGAGAGGGGAGGGGUGCAUGUCUCUAGGCCAACCAGGAGGUUAGAAUACUGGACAAUACCAUAUUAGGAACUGUUUCAGUGUAGAAUCUACAGACACAAGACGGAUCUAAUCUACCCAGCAACCAGAUGUGGACAAAGGGAAGCGCCAAGGGGCUUGGACAAAUCCGAGGGCCAGCAAGGGCGGAGCAAAGUCUAAACCGCGCCCAGCCUCUACUGUGAUAGGCCAACAGGCGCGUUGGAACUACGUCAUCAUGGUAUAAGAACAGCUGGUUACGUACUUCCUGCCAGUUCUCCGAUCUACCCUGCGUGGAGAUACUGUGAACUCGUAUAUACGAAAAUUGCAUUUGCUAUUCAUUGUUUGCGGUAAUUAAACAUAAUUAAAGAAAGUUAGCAGACCUUGCUUUUUAUUUAUCCUGACACCGGAUGUGUUACACGCAGCGUUCACAAUAGUAGAUAUCAAUUGGAGGGGUAAAUGUUUUAGAUUUAUUAACGUAUAUGCACCAUCGACACCCAAGGAAAGGAGGGAAAUGCUUAACGACCUAGACGCUGUUUUUAUGACAAACAGACAGGGUUUCUCACACACCCAAAGACAGAUGGCUGGCACAGGAAAGGCCUUGAUCAAGAGUGCUUGGGUCUGCAUUUCACGAGAUAAGACACACACACACAUACCCAAGGACGGAGGGCUGACUACGCACACACAAAAUCUCCUGUUUAGCUGAACAUUUGGUAACAAAGAACUUUUGCUAUAAGACUCAGAAGGAUGACGCCCAGCUCAUCAGGACCAAUCUGAGAAGACAACAACCUGUCCAGAACCAACCAAAGGACCAGAACUUCCAGACUCAACCUACUUUCUGUGUUGUAUAAAAUGUCUAUGCAUUCUGUUAUCUGGGCUUUUUCUGGAGGUUCUCUAUGAGCCGAAGGAACGAGACCGUAUACGCUUGUACCAGAUAUCUUUACUCAUAAUUAAACUGUCGCUUGUCAUACAAUUUA